CCUACGGGAGGCAGCAGUGGGGAAUUUUGGGCAAUGGGCGAAAGCCAGACCCAGCAACGCCGCGUGAAGGAUGAUGUAUUUCGGUAUGUAAACUUCGAAAGAAUAGGAAGAAUUAAUGACGGUACUACUUAUAAGGUCCGGCUAACUACGUGCCAGCAGCCGCGGUAAUA
rnacentral:rRNA from 1 species